UACGAAGGGGGCUAGCGUUGCUCGGAAUUACUGGGCGUAAAGGGCUCGUAGGCGGCCAACUAAGUCGGACGUGAAAUCCCCAGGCUCAACCUGGGAACUGCGUCUGAUACUGGAUGGCUUGAAUCCGGGAGAGGGAUGCAGAAUUCCAGGUGUAGCGGUGAAAUGCGUAGAUAUCUGGAGGAAUACCGGUGGCGAAGGCGGCAUCCUGGACCGGCAUUGACGCUGAGGAGCGAAAGCCAGGGGAGCAAACGGG
rnacentral:rRNA from 1 species